GAAUGCGCUGCCUCUCCCUCGCCUGAGAGGGAGGGGGGAGAAGUGGAGCGGCAGCGUGUCCAGGGGAGCAGGCAGAGCAGAGAACAGGUUGAUUCUAACCCUGUGAACCAUCAAUCAGCCAUGCUUUGAGGUGAAGAACACCAAGGUUGGAGUAAAGAAGUUGACAAACAUCCUGAGAGAGAAGAUGAGGGAUGAUCUGGAGGAUGAUCAGUUGACAAGCAGUCAACUUGAUGAAACAAGGAAACCCUGUCUGUCUUGGUCAUGUCAGAACCAUCAGAAUAACUCUGGCCCUGUCUUUCCUUAUCUUGAUCAGCACUUCGGAUAUUAGUGGAGCUGGAGCAAAUGCAUACAGACCCAACAUCCAGUGAAGGAGAAAGCCAUUUCCCAAGGAGUGGAGACCCAGUCCACCUCUUGAGCAGAACUGGGGGUACUUCUUGUUUCUGGCUGUGGUGAACAGUUCUAUCUCAGGGAUGCCCCAGCACUGAAAUACGAAGUGAAGAAUAAUGGGAGUUUGCUCCCACUUGUGAUCCUGAAAGAAACACCUCCUGAGGGUAUCUGCAGUGAUGUUUUGAAUGCCCGGAAGAUAAGCCACUGAGAUGUUGAUAUGACUUUGCAUGCACCAACCAGCCUUGCAUGGUUUAUCAUAAAAUUCCCAGCUGCAGUAUGGCCCAACAACUGGAGACAGUUUUUGACCAAUGUCUGGGGCUGAUUUAGACUGUAGUGACUAAAUUCAAUAGGGUUGUAAACCUGUGCAUUAGGAGGGAGGCUUUGGCCACAACCGCAUCUAGGUAAGCUCCUAGGACCUCCAAUAUUUGCACCGGGGUCAAGGUGGACUUCUGAAUGUUUAACUGCAGUCCCAUUCUAUGGACUUCUGAGUGGCCACUGAGUUCUCGUGGUACGAGCAUCCCUUUGGCAGUCAAUCGUCAAGAUUUGAGAAUAUUAGGAUUCCUCUUCUGCAAAGGUAAGCUGCUACCACUGACAGAAUCUUUGAAAACACUCUGGGAGCAGAAGAGCGACCGAAUGGAAGUGCUCUGUAUUGAAAGUUGUUUUGACCUAGAAUGAAACAGAAGAACCUUUUGUGGGAAGGGUGGAUCGCUACAUGGAAAUAUGAAUCUUGUAGGUCAAGGGCUGAGAACCAAUCCCCUAUGUCCAAUGAUGGUAUUAUUGCUGCAAGUGUUACCAUUUUGAAUUUCUGUGUCUUCACAAACCUGUUGAGGAGCCUUAGAACUAGAAUGGGCUCCACUUGCCAUUCUUUUUUAAAACCAGGAAGUACCUGCAAUAAAACCCCUUCCCUCUAUGUUGUACAGAAACUGGUUCUAUAAUGCCUAAGUUCAGGAAGGAGUCUAUUUCCUGCUUUUGGAGAUGGUCAUGAGAGGAGUUCCUGAAAAGGGAUAGAGAAGGAGGUGGCACGAAGGGAGGGAGGUAAAAUAGAUGGAGUAUCCUGCUGAUAUGAUCUCCAAAACCCAUAUGUCCAUGGUGAUAUGCUCCCAAGCUUGAUGGAAGUGAGAAAGGCAGUCCACAAAGUGAGGAAGGUACGUGAACCAUUCCAGCUGGUCAGAGGAAGGCAGGGGGUAAUUCAGAACCUUGACCACGCUACCAAAUCAAUGGUUCGAUUAUGAGGAUUGUAAGGUCAAUGCCUGUGUAGCAGGUCUCUUUUUCUGGAACCUCUGCCUCUUUCACUGAGGUUCAUAAGACCUCUGGGAGCAGAGAAUUGAGCAGAAUGAGAUCUCUGUGCUGUCUGGGAUUAACUAAAUUUCCUUUUAUGCACCAGUGUGUAAAUUCUCUGAGAACGCAAAGUGGCCCUUGGAUUUUUUAAUGGAUGCGAAGACUUAUCUGUAUUCUCCGCGAACAGUUUGGAGCCAUUGAAGGGAAGGACCUCCAUCAGAAAUCCUCAGAGUUGAAGCCUGGAGGCCCUUCUCAUGACUAUCACCAUAGAAUAGGGUGAGCAGCUGUGUCAGUGGCAUCCAGAGAAGCCUGAAGAGAUGUUCUGGCAAGGAGCCGACUCUCUGUAAUGAUUGCCUGGAACUGGUCCCUCUGCUCUCAUGGUAGAUUCUCAAUAAAUGAACUAAACUUUGA